rnacentral:rRNA from 1 species
CUACGGGACGCUGCAGUGGGGAAUAUUGGACAAUGGGGGAAACCCUGAUCCAGCAAUGCCGCGUGUGUGAAGAAGGCCUGCGGGUUGUAAAGCACUUUCGGUUGGGAGGACUGCUUCUAGCACUAAUAUUGUUGGAAGUUGACGUUACCUUCAGAAGAAGCACCGGCUAACUCCGUGCCAGCAGCCACGGUAAUACGGAGGGUGCAAGCGUUAAUCGGAAUUACUGGGCGUAAAGCGCGCGUAGGCGGCUAGAUCAGUCGGGUGUGAAAGCCCCGGGCUUAACCUGGGAACUGCAUCCGAUACUGUCUAGCUUGAGUACAGGAGAGGAGAGUGGAAUUCCACAUGUAGCAGUGAAAUGCGUAGAUAUGUGGAGGAACACCAAUGGCGAAGGCAGCUCUCUGGCCUGAUACUGACGCUGAGGUGCGAAAGCGUGGGGAGCAAACAGGAUUAGAUACCCCCGUAGUC